rnacentral:rRNA from 1 species
GAUGAAUGCUGGCGGCGUGCCUAAUACAUGCAAGUCGUACGGAAAGGCCCUUCGGGGUACUCGAGUGGCGGACGGCUGAGUAACGCGUGGGAACGUGCCCCAAAGUGAGGGAUAACGCACCGAAAGGUGUGCUAAUACCGCAUAUGGUCUUCGGAUUAAAGCUUCGGCGCUUUGGGAGCGGCCCGCGUACGAUUAGAUAGUUGGUAGGGUAAUGGCCUACCAAGUCGACGAUCGUUAGCUGGUCUGAGAGGAUGAUCAGCCAGACUGGCACUGAGACACGGUCCAGACUCCUACGGGAGGCAGCAGUAAGGAAUCUUCCACAAUGGGGGCAACCCUGAUGGAGCAACGCCGCGUGCAGGAUGAAGGCCCUCGGGUCGUAAACUGCUUUUAUGAGUGAAGAAUAUGACGGUAACUCAUGAAUAAGCACCAGCUAACUACGUGCCAGCCGCCGCCGUAAGAC